CUCUGAAUGUCAAAGUGAAGAGAUUCUUUGAAGCGCGGGUAAACGGCGGGAGUAACUAUGACUCUGUAUGUAACUAUGACCCUGUACUCCUCCAAAAGCAACUCGUCCGCAGCAGGCGGUACGGCAAGGUGUAAGGUAUCCCGGUAGUCAGCUCUGAAGGCUGGUUGCCCUACCUUGGCCCGUGCGAGGGCUGCGGCUAUUAACCUUGGCUUUCAACCAAGGUCGAUGAGGAGUCUCUAUUGGCUCAUCGGCUCCGCGGAGUUAGCAGCAAUUCGGUGUUGUCUGCGGGGUUCCCUGCUGCCUGGGGUUCAGGCAUAAUGUGGCGCCUGCCAUUGACUAGCCGAAUGCCUCGUCAUCUAAUUAGUGACGUGAAUUAGUGAA
rnacentral:ncRNA from 1 species